AGCAGAAGAUUUGAAUUAUUUUCAAACUAGAGGAGGGGUGCACAAGUUUGGUCCUCGAGAGUCCCUAUUCAGGCUGUUCCAGAUGUCUCCCUCGUCCAACACCAACUGAUUCAAAUGUAGGGAGACGUCUAAAACAACUUGAUUGGGGCUCUCAAGGAGCUGACUGGGGUAACCCCGACCUAGGAUUCCAGAGGUACCUCUACUAAUGAAAUUAAUUGGUUCUGGAAGAAAUUUCUUAACUAGAAAGGUUUGUCAGUUGUCAGCAAAUGCGUUUUCCAUGUAAAUGCCCUAAUUCGUUCCACGCCCAACCAAAAUUCAGACAAAAAUAUUUCCUAAAGCAUAAAAAAAAUGCAUCAAAAUAUGUAACAUACAUUUUACGAUUAGAUUAUCGCACAAAAAAUGAGUUGUGCAUAAUGUAAAAAACUAAGAGAAAAGAAUAAAAUUGAUGGUAAUUUAACUUUUAAAUGCGUCCUCAUCAUUUUUUUGCCUUCUUUUGUCCAUGUUCUCUUUCAGACGUUUUUUUACCCGACGUUAUGAAAAAAAAAACGUUCCAAGGAUCUUUGCCUUUGUCGGCUUUUAACAAUCCUUUGAAAAUGUCUAGGGCAAACAUCAGCAUAGUGAGCGAUCGCCCGACUGGUGAACACUUUGUCUGGGUGAUUCACAUUUACUGAAACCAUCAGAACACCUCCUGGGCGAAUGACGCGGAUGCUGCAUCGUUACCUUACUAUGCGACCUACACACACAGGAGAGAGGAGUAGUGUGUAUAGAAACAAUUCCUAAACAAAGUCCAAAGUAACAAACAAAAACCAUGGCAGCCAGAAACUAAAACUCUCAAUAACAAAAACAUGACCAAAACAGGACUGAAGCUAAAACAUAACAAUGAACUAGUGAUGGGUCCAGCGACACCGAUGCAUUGACACAUGCGCCGGGCUCACAGAGCAAACCACGUGUCGAUGCAUGUGCUGGCUCAUUACGUCACGUGAUUGACACGUGAACUGCGUUGACACAGUCCAGGCUUCUAAUUGACACACCGGCUGCGUUGACACAGUCCAGGCUGCUAAUUGACACAUCGACUGUGUUGACACAGUCCAGGCUGCUAAUUGACACAUCGGCUGCGUUGACACAGUCCAGGCUGCUAAUUGACACGUGAACUGCACCUGCAUCGGCUGCUUGGCACAGUACAGGCUGCGCCACUUAGUCCAGGGGGCGUCGACUCGGUGCAGAGGGCGUUGACGCAGCAAAAGCCCGCCACCCAGUGUUUAUAAGGAACACCUGCCGAAACAAGCCAGACCUCACUCACGCUCGCUUGUCGAACCUCGUGUCAGUGCAGACUUCGUGUUCGUGCCUUGCCUUCCUUGCCGAUUAUGGAGCAGAGACGCAAAUCAUCCGCCGUGUGGGACAAUUUUGAUGUCCUGGAGAAUAAGGUGAAAUGUCGAAUUUGCCAAGUCAAUUCGCCAACAGAAGCACCUCCACCAUGCUGAGGCAUUAUCGGGCCAAGCAUGAGAAUGAAGUUCGCGAUACACCCGGUAUUACGCCAGGUUCCAGGAAGCAGCUGUACUGGAAGGACCAACACACUUCUUUCCCAAACCUCUCCCACCUCGCAAAGGAGUUCCUUUGUACGCCAGCCACAUCCAUCCCUUGUGAGCGUGUGUUCUUCACAGCAGGAGAAAUUGCUUGUAAAAGACUCAACAGGCUGAAGUUUAAAACAUUGGAGCAUCUUAUUUUUCACAAUAAACAUGUGAAAUCAAAGCCCACAAGCAUCCUCAUUCAAAUGAUCUUCACAUUAUUUGAACACAUUGAAUGUUGCAAAAUGAAUGAAUGCAUGGAUGUGAAUGAUAUAGUAUACACUUCAUCAAAUCGAUGAAUGACCUUAUGAAAAUGUCUUGGAACAGUUGUAGAUGCAAAACCGUGCUGGCAGCUACAUAAUAGAUAAUAAAAGAAAAAUAUCCCAAACCAUAGGGAUCCUCCCAAAACUAAGGAUGUGCUGAAUAAGAAAUCCUUGUACACACUUUUAUUACUUCCAUAUUUGACCUAUUGUGUGGAAAUAUGGGGAAAUGCCAGUAAAACACUGUUCUGAUUGCUUUGUAUUGUAGUUUUAAAACAAUCACUGGCUCCAA